CCCGGUGGGGGCCCUUUUUUGAAGGCCUUUUUAAAUUGGGCCGCCAACUCUUAAACGACGAUAUUAAGUUUAGGCCCGCCGCCUGGGGGGAAUGUUCACGGUUUUGCGCGCAGGAGCAAUUUAUAAAGUGUCGAAAAUGGGGAAGAUUGGCACCGGCGGGGGCCCCCCGGCGGACACCAAACCCGGGUUGGACACACAUUGGUGUGUCAUUAAAUUCUGAGAAGUCCACAAACACGUCCUGUAAGGGACCCUCUAACACCGGGGUUUCCUUGGAGACACCAUAUAGUUUAAAGGAACCACUGUUCUCCACAGAGGGAUUGAAAUUGGGUGGCCCCUUUCCGGGGGAAACCUUAACAAUUACCAGGUCCUUGUGCAAUUGGCCUGUUCGGUCAAGGCUUCGGUUGUUCCGGUUGAAGAAUUGUUGGGGUUAAAGUCCCCGCAAACCGGAGGCCGGCAAACCCCUUUUUUCCCUUUAUUUGCCCAGCGGGGUUUAAGCCGGGAACUUUAAGGAUACUGCCAGUGACAAACUGGAGGAAGGCGGGGACGACGUCAAGUCAUCAUGGCCCUUACGACCAGGGCUACACACGUGCUACAAUGGUCGGUACAAAGGGUUGCUACCUAGCGAUAGGAUGCUAAUCUCAAAAAGCCGAUCGUAGUCCGGAUUUGGAAUACUGCAACGGGGACUCCAUGAAGUCG
rnacentral:rRNA from 1 species